GUGCCAUGUUGGAUGGUUAGAGGCUCUUCAGGAGGAAUAGGCAAGGCAGGUGAGGCUGGGGGGUGGCUUUUUAUGUAACGGAAGGGUUGGAGCUUAGAGUUGGCAAUGUCAUAGUUGAGAGCGUCUGGGCAGAUGUCAUCAUGGGAGUCUACUAUGGACUGCCUAGCUAGGACGAUGACACCGAUGACUUAUUCUAAGGAACUAAGAGAUACCUCUUAAUCAUCUGCCCUUGUCCUCAUGGGUGACUACAACUAACUAGAAAUUAACUGGGCUGGCACAAACAGACCCAGAAAAUUCCUAAAAGACCUCGAUGACAACUUCAUGGUACAUGUACUACGAGAGCCAACGAGGAAAGAAGCCCUCCUUGAUUUGUUGCUUGUUAACAGAGAGGGUCUCAUGAGUGAAAUGGAGAUUGGUGGCCUUCUUGGCCACUGCGACCACAAAGCAAUCAAGUUUAAAAUCUGUUGAUGGGAGGAAAAGUGCCAGCAAAAUUUCAACCCUGGACAUGAGGAGAGUAGACUUCAGGCUGCACAGGGAACUAAUGCUAAGCCUGAAACAGAGAUGAUUCAGAACAACAUGGAGGUAAUCUGUUUUUACAAGGAACUCUGUCUUCAUGAAUACACAUUUCUUUUAAAACAAGACCCAUGACAGAUGCCAGGUGGAAUGAUUAAAGCAGUGGGUGGAUUU